UCAUGCUUAGUAUUUCAUUUCAGUCAUGUUUUGUGUGAAGUGAUCUAUGGAGAUGUAUUGGUCGACAGGUUAAACAUGCAUAUAGAGGAGUGUGGUGAUCAGGGCGCCAUGAGAACUCAUUAUGGGCAUGAACAAGAUUUGAACAGCUACAGAACUUUAUAGCUGGGGCAACCACUGCCAUAUGAUCAAGAUCUGGGGCAACCACUGCCAUAUGAACAAGUUUUGAAGAGAGAAACAUCAAGUAAGUGCCGACAUCACAACCCCUACAAGCUUGUGCCUUAAAACAAGAGGAUACAAGAAGUUGGAGUGCUUUUGUGAAGGCUUUUGUGACUCACUUGAAGCAUUGGUACUUUUGUGAAUGAUUUUGUAAAGUGUUUGUAAAUAUGUGCAAAAUAUAAUAACAUGUGUAGGUUUUGUGAAUGAUUUUGUUGUGGUGCUUGUUGAUGGUUUAUGUGAUGUGGAUCUAUCA